CAUAGGUAAUGGCUUGGUUAAGGGAACCCACCGGAGCCAUAGCGAAAGUGAGUCUUCAUAGGGCAAUUGUCACUGCUUAUGGACCCGAACUUGGGUGAUCUAUCCAUGACCAGGAUGAAGCUUGGGUGAAACUAAUGAAACUAAGUGGAGGUCCAAACCGACUGAUGUUGAAGAAUCAACGGAUAAGUUGUGGUUAGGGGUGAAAUGCCACUCGAACCCAGAGCUAGCUGG
rnacentral:ncRNA from 1 species